rnacentral:rRNA from 1 species
AAUUGGGUUCGGGCUCUUCUUGCGCAGCCUAGGUGGGAGGCGUUGAAGGUUUUCUUUCGGGGAAACUGGAGCCAACAGUGAGAGACCACUCUGGAGGAGCUAGAAUUCUAAUGGCGUUCCUUGAAGCAGGACGCUUGACAGUUUCAGGUGGGCAGUUUGACUGGGGCGGUCACCUCCUAAAAAGUAACGGAGGUGUGCAAAGGUUCCCUCAGGCUGGACGGAAAUCAGCCGGAGAGUGUAAAGGCAGAAGGGAGCUUGACUGCAAGACCUACAAGUCGAGCAGGGGCGAAAGCCGGCCUUAGUGAUCCGACGGUUCCAUGUGGAAGGGCCGUCGCUCAACGGAU